rnacentral:rRNA from 1 species
GGGUUGUGAGGUUAAGCGACUAAGCGUACACGGUGGAUGCCCUGGCAGUCAGAGGCGAUGAAGGACGUGCUAAUCUGCGAUAAGCGUCGGUAAGGUGAUAUGAACCGUUAUAACCGGCGAUUUCCGAAUGGGGAAACCCAGUGUGAUUCGUCACACUAUCAUUAACUGAAUCCAUAGGUUAAUGAGGCGAACCGGGGGAACUGAAACAUCUAAGUACCCCGAGGAAAAGAAAUCAACCGAGAUUCCCCCAGUAGCGGCGAGCGAACGGGGAGGAGCCCAGAGCCUGAAUCAGUGUGUGUGUUAGUGGAAGCGUCUGGAAAGGCGCGCGAUACAGGGUGACAGCCCCGUACACAAAAAUGCACAUGCUGUGAGCUCGAUGAGUAGGGCGGGACACGUGGUAUCCUGUCUGAAUAUGGGGGGACCAUCCUCCAAGGCUAAAUACUCCUGACUGACCGAUAGUGAACCAGUACCGUGAGGGAAAGGCGAAAAGAACCCCGGCGAGGGGAGUGAAAAAGAACCUGAAACCGUGUACGUACAAGCAGUGGGAGCACAGAGCAAUCUGUGUGACUGCGUACCUUUUGUAUAAUGGGUCAGCGACUUAUAUUCUGUAGCAAGGUUAACCGAAUAGGGGAGCCGAAGGGAAACCGAGUCUUAACCGGGCGUUAAGUUGCAGGGUAUAGACCCGAAACCCGGUGAUCUAGCCAUGGGCAGGUUGAAGGUUGGGUAACACUAACUGGAGGACCGAACCGACUAAUGUUGAAAAAUUAGCGGAUGACUUGUGGCUGGGGGUGAAAGGCCAAUCAAACCGGGAGAUAGCUGGUUCUCCCCGAAAGCUAUUUAGGUAGCGCCUCGUGAAUUCAUCUCCGGGGGUAGAGCACUGUUUCGGCAAGGGGGUCAUCCCGACUUACCAACCCGAUGCAAACUGCGAAUACCGGAGAAUGUUAUCACGGGAGACACACGGCGGGUGCUAACGUCCGUCGUGAAGAGGGAAACAACCCAGACCGCCAGCUAAGGUCCCAAAGUCAUGGUUAAGUGGGAAACGAUGUGGGAAGGCCCAGACAGCCAGGAUGUUGGCUUAGAAGCAGCCAUCAUUUAAAGAAAGCGUAAUAGCUCACUGGUCGAGUCGGCCUGCGCGGAAGAUGUAACGGGGCUAAACCAUGCACCGAAGCUGCGGCAGCGACACUGUGUGUUGUUGGGUAGGGGAGCGUUCUGUAAGCCUGUGAAGGUGUGCUGUGAGGCAUGCUGGAGGUAUCAGAAGUGCGAAUGCUGACAUAAGUAACGAUAAAGCGGGUGAAAAGCCCGCUCGCCGGAAGACCAAGGGUUCCUGUCCAACGUUAAUCGGGGCAGGGUGAGUCGACCCCUAAGGCGAGGCCGAAAGGCGUAGUCGAUGGGAAACAGGUUAAUAUUCCUGUACUUGGUGUUACUGCGAAGGGGGGACGGAGAAGGCUAUGUUGGCCGGGCGACGGUUGUCCCGGUUUAAGCGUGUAGGCUGGUUUUCCAGGCAAAUCCGGAAAAUCAAGGCUGAGGCGUGAUGACGAGGCACUACGGUGCUGAAGCAACAAAUGCCCUGCUUCCAGGAAAAGCCUCUAAGCAUCAGGUAACAUCAAAUCGUACCCCAAACCGACACAGGUGGUCAGGUAGAGAAUACCAAGGCGCUUGAGAGAACUCGGGUGAAGGAACUAGGCAAAAUGGUGCCGUAACUUCGGGAGAAGGCACGCUGAUAUGUAGGUGAAGUCCCUCGCGGAUGGAGCUGAAAUCAGUCGAAGAUACCAGCUGGCUGCAACUGUUUAUUAAAAACACAGCACUGUGCAAACACGAAAGUGGACGUAUACGGUGUGACGCCUGCCCGGUGCCGGAAGGUUAAUUGAUGGGGUCAGCGCAAGCGAAGCUCUUGAUCGAAGCCCCGGUAAACGGCGGCCGUAACUAUAACGGUCCUAAGGUAGCGAAAUUCCUUGUCGGGUAAGUUCCGACCUGCACGAAUGGCGUAAUGAUGGCCAGGCUGUCUCCACCCGAGACUCAGUGAAAUUGAACUCGCUGUGAAGAUGCAGUGUACCCGCGGCAAGACGGAAAGACCCCGUGAACCUUUACUAUAGCUUGACACUGAACAUUGAGUCUUGAUGUGUAGGAUAGGUGGGAGGCUUUGAAGUGUGGACGCCAGUCUGCAUGGAGCCGACCUUGAAAUACCACCCUUUAAUGUUUGAUGUUCUAACGUGGACCCGUGAUCCGGGUUGCGGACAGUGUCUGGUGGGUAGUUUGACUGGGGCGGUCUCCUCCUAAAGAGUAACGGAGGAGCACGAAGGUUGGCUAAUCCUGGUCGGACAUCAGGAGGUUAGUGCAAUGGCAUAAGCCAGCUUGACUGCGAGCGUGACGGCGCGAGCAGGUGCGAAAGCAGGUCAUAGUGAUCCGGUGGUUCUGAAUGGAAGGGCCAUCGCUCAACGGAUAAAAGGUACUCCGGGGAUAACAGGCUGAUACCGCCCAAGAGUUCAUAUCGACGGCGGUGUUUGGCACCUCGAUGUCGGCUCAUCACAUCCUGGGGCUGAAGUAGGUCCCAAGGGUAUGGCUGUUCGCCAUUUAAAGUGGUACGCGAGCUGGGUUUAGAACGUCGUGAGACAGUUCGGUCCCUAUCUGCCGUGGGCGCUGGAGAACUGAGGGGGGCUGCUCCUAGUACGAGAGGACCGGAGUGGACGCAUCACUGGUGUUCGGGUUGUCAUGCCAAUGGCACUGCCCGGUAGCUAAAUGCGGAAGAGAUAAGUGCUGAAAGCAUCUAAGCACGAAACUUGCCCCGAGAUGAGUUCUCCCUGACCCUUUAAGGGUCCUGAAGGAACGUUGAAGACGACGACGUUGAUAGGCCGGGUGUGUAAGCGCAGCGAUGCGUUGAGCUAACCGGUACUAAUGAACCGUGAGGCUUAACCUUACAACGCCGAAGGUGUUU